CUGCUGCAAUUGCUUCCGCAGCCCCCUUUUCAAGUCUUCUUCACUGUCUGCAAAAGUAUCCCAAUACACUUUUGCAUGGCUCCUCAGAGAGCAGUAGGAAUAGGAGGAAAGGAAGGAUUUUCUGUCAGAAAUAUGUCAAGGCAGAAACCAAGGCCUAGAAGAGUUAAGUAAUUUGUCCAAGAUCACAGAGCACUAAUAAUUCAAAGUGGAUAAGAAUUCUGAACAAUAAAGAAUGGAAAAACGUAGAAGACAACUUACCUGAAGUCUUGCCAGUUGUGCGGUGCGUG